rnacentral:tRNA from 1 species
GGGGGUAUAGCUCAGUGAUAGAGCACAUGCUCACCAUGCACAAAGUCCUGGGUUCAAUUCCUAGUACCUCCA